GACGAACGCUGGCGGCGUGCCUAAUACAUGCAAGUCGAACGCACAGUUUAUACCGUUGCUGGCUACACCAUAGACGGUGAGUUGCGAACGGGUAAGUAACGCGUAGGUAACCUGCCUGGUAGCGGGAGAGAACGAAUGUAAACGAAAGAUAAUACAGCAUAAUAUUGAUUAUUGCUGGGUAAUUAAUAGAAAGGUGCAAUUGCAGCACUACCAGAGGGACCUGCGUUGUAUUAGCUAGUAGGUGAGGUAACGGCUGACCUAGGCGGUGAUACAUAGCCGACCUGAGUGGGUGAUCGGCCGCACUGAGACGGAGACAGGGCCCAGACUCCUACGGGAGGCAGCAGUAGGGAAUCUUCGGCGAUCGACGAGAGUCUGACCGAUCAACGCCGCGUGAGUGAAGAAGGGUUUCGGUUCGUAAAUCUCUGUUGUAAGAGAAGAACGGGGGUGAGAGUGGAAAGUUCACACUGUGACGGUAGCUUACCAGAAAGGGACGGCUAACUACGUG
rnacentral:rRNA from 1 species